UACAGGGGGGGGCAAGCGUUUGUUCGGAAUUACUGGGCGUAAAGGGCUCGUAGGCGGCCAACUAAGUCACACGUGAAAAUCCCCAGGCUUAACCUGGGAACUGCGUGUGAUACUGGAUGGCUUGAAUUCGGGAGAGGGAUGCAGAAUUCCAGGUGUAGCGGUGAAAUGCGUAGAUAUCUGGAGGAAUACCGGUGGCGAAGGCGGCAUCCUGGACCGACAUUGACGCUGAGGAGCGAAAGCUGAGGGAGACAAGCAGGG
rnacentral:rRNA from 1 species